AACGAACGCUGGCGGCAUGCCUAACACAUGCAAGUCGAACGAGACCUUCGGGUCUAGUGGCGCACGGGUGCGUAACGCGUGGGAACCUGCCCUUAGGUUCGGAAUAACUCCCCGAAAGGGGUGCUAAUACCGGAUAAUGUCUUCGGACCAAAGAUUUAUCGCCUUUGGAUAGGCCCGCGUUGGAUUAGCUAGUUGGUAGGGUAAAAGCCUACCAAGGCGACGAUCCAUAGCUGGUCUGAGAGGAUGAUCAGCCACACUGGGACUGAGACACGGCCCAGACUCCUACGGGAGGCAGCAGUGGGGAAUAUUGGACAAUGGGCGAAAGCCUGAUCCAGCAAUGCCGCGUGAGUGAUGAAGGCCUUAGGGUUGUAAAGCUCUUUUACCCGGGAUGAUAAUGACAGUACCGGGAGAAUAAGCGCCGGCUAACUCCGUG
rnacentral:rRNA from 1 species